GAAUUUGAGACGAGAAAAGCAGUCGUUGCUGCUGCGAGAUCGAGAUGAAGCUACUACUGAAAUUGCAGACAUGAACUCAGAUCGAGACUGAAGAAAGAACAUAGGUUUUUGAUUUGAAUAAGAGAUUAAAUCUGUGAUGAGAUGGGAUUUUUCCCUGUGAGCUUUCGGAAUAGAGAGGAAUGGGUUUGAGCUCGUGGUGAAGAAAUCAAAGAAGGAAUUGAAGAUGGGCAUAGUUUCUGCUGCUGUUAAUUGAACGUAGUGAUACGAAGAUGAUUCUGGUGCUGUAUGUUUAAAGGCUUGAGAAGAGCAACUCUGAAAUUGAAUCUAAGGGUUUCGAUUGUAUCUGUAACUGAUGAACAGAGUUGGGUUUGCGGUGGUAAUCAAAUAGGUGAUGUUCAAUGAUGAAUUGAGUAGGGUUCGAUCUAGAGUUGUGAAUGAGAGAUGGGUUUGCUGAUGAAUUCAAGAUCGAGAGGAAGAAGAAGCUCACACAGGGUUUCGAUUCGUCACUGUUAUGGGUUAGAGUUGCUGUGAAGAAGAAAUUGGGUUUUGAUGAAUGAUGCUUCUGCUCAAUUGUAGCUGUUGUACAUUGGGUGAUUUUCAUGAGAAGAAGCAGAAAUUGAGUACAAGAAGCAUCAGAGAUGGGGUUUAGAUCGAGAAGAGCAGAUGGGUUUUGAAUGGACCUUGAGAUUGAAGAUGAGUUGGUGGUGCUUCCUGGGUUCGAAUGAGAAACAGAUGCUGCAGCUGUGACAGAUUCAGAAGAGUUGAGCUGUUGCUGUGAUGGGUUGUGUAUGAAAUUGAUGAAUGAGUUACUUGAAUAGAUGUAUGUUAGGUUCUUAACAGGUUAAGAAAGAAAGGCCUGAAAUUGGCAUGGGAAAUGCUCUGUAAACAGUCGAGUCUCGGCCGGCACUCUGCUCAGACAAGUCAACUCGUUGCCGCCGAUGAACGAUCCAACUCAUGAGUAAGACCAGUGAGACAGACUCAGAUCAACUAACUUAGUGGCUGACUCUAAGACCUUGACCCAGUCGACUGUUAGAGACCGUUAGUAUUGACUGUUAACUGUGACGGAAUAUGCUGUCGACGGAGAAGAAUAUUCAGUGAUCUGAAGAGAACUUUCAGACUUGGACUUGAAAAUUGAUGAAGAAUUUGGUCUGAAUUUGGAAAAAGAGGAUGGAAGAUUUGAGAAACACUUGGAUUUGGAAGUGCAGCUAUAAAGGGAAAGGGAUUCUAUUCCUAAGAGGAUUGUUAGGAAAUUGAAGCCUAUAAAUAGAGAAGUUCUCUACUUUUCUCUAGAUACUUAACAAUAUAUACACCUUAUACACUUCUACACCUCCACACACAACACUUUUCUUUUCUUUAUUUUUUGUGUGCAUGAGUAGCUAAUUUUAUUGAUUGGGGAUAAAUUCCUAAUUCUUGACAUGUUUUGAGUUUUUAUUUUAAAUCUACUUUGAAGUUUUUCACAUGA